rnacentral:rRNA from 1 species
GAUGAACGCUGGCGGCGUGCCUAAUACAUGCAAGUCGAGCGAACAGACGAGGAGCUUGCUCCUCUGACGUUAGCGGCGGACGGGUGAGUAACACGUGGAUAACCUACCUAUAAGACUGGGAUAACUUCGGGAAACCGGAGCUAAUACCGGAUAAUAUAUUGAACCGCAUGGUUCAAUAGUGAAAGACGGUUUUGCUGUCACUUAUAGAUGGAUCCGCUCCGCAUUAGCUAGUGGGUAAGGUAACGGCUUACCAAGGCGACGUUGCGUAGCCGACCUGGGAGGGUGAUCGGCCCCACUGGACCUGAGCCACGGUCCAGCCUCCUACGGGAGGCAGCAUUAGGGAAUCUUCCGCAAUGGGCGAAAUCCUGACGGAGCACCGCCGCGUGAGUGAUGAAGGUCUUCGGAUCGUAAAACUCUGUUAUUAGGGAAGAACAAAUGUGUAAGUAACUAUGCACGUCUUGACGGUACCUAAUCAGAAAGCCACGGCUAACUACGUG